rnacentral:ncRNA from 1 species
AGGAGCCGUAUGAGGCGGAAGCUCCACGUACGGUUUUGAAGCCGAGCCUUUCCAGCAUAAUUUAUAAAUAGGCUUUGUAUUGUAUUUGAU